GUGAAGCUCACAGUACAUGUGGAGGACUCUCCUGUGGAUCUGAAUGACUCUGCUGUGAAAGCAGAACUGCUGACAAGGGUGAAGGAGCAGCUGAAGAAGAAAGGAGAUGGAGUCAGUGUGAGGUGGAGAGUGCAGCCUGAUGGGAAGCUCUUGGCUGGAGAUGGAAGAAGAAAGAAGACUCUGAGAGGAAAAGAAAAAUGUUUCAGAAGCUUUUCUGCUUGAAUCAUGUGACAGCCAAUCAAACUUUAUUAUCCACACGUCAUUCUCCCAGCUGUGUCUGAGCACAGAUGUGGGCUAACAUCUGUUUUUAGGCUCUUCUGUCACAGUUUUUGUGGGCGUGGCCUCUUCUUUGGCUUUCAUACAGAUAAAUGCAGACGUGUUUGUGAGCCACAGGUUUCUGCUGACACACGUUCACUUUUGGAAACCAGAGAGACAAACAUGCUGUCACCAUGGAAACAAGCACAGGAAAUACAGCAGGCUGAAACUGUCAUGCAUUUCGUUGCCCUGUACCUGUGCAUGUGCAAUGACAAUAAAGUUGAAUUCUAUUCUAUUCUAUUCAUGGUCCUGGCUCUUUGAGUUUCUGGACUGUGUGUUUAGUAUAAAAUAUUUUCUAUGUGAUUAUUAGUUUGCUGAUUGUUUCUAUUUCAUCUCCGUGUUAUUCCUCAGUGUUUCAGUCUGGAGUGUUUAUUUCCAGUUACUGUUGAUGUUGCUUUAUUUUAUUCCUUCACUGUUUCCCGUCUCAUCCUCCUGUGAUAAGUUCUUUCAUGCGUCUGUGCUGUCAUGUACUUAUGGUUCUCCCUUCCUGUUUUAUUUUUUUGUCAUUGUUUUAAAUCACAUGACAGAAACCAGCGACGGCCAAAUAAAGCUUUAUGAAGUAUUGAAGCUCAUAUUUAAAAAAGGGUUUGUUACUCAAAGCUUUCUAACACAGUCCUCUUUUGUGGCAUCCAGUGGACAAAAUGCAAAGAGCAGCUUGAAUCUACAAAUUAAAAUGAAUGCUUCAUUAUGAUUGCCUACUCUGCAGAGCUAAGUUGGCAGCUUCUAUUCAAUAUCAUGUUACAGCUCUGAUAUUGGGCUACUGUUUGUUUUCUGAUUAAUAAAUAAUUAUGAUGAAUGAA
ensembl:lncRNA